AUUGAACGCUGGCGGCAGGCCUAACACAUGCAAGUCGAGCGGAUGAAGGGAGCUUGCUCCUGGAUUCAGCGGCGGACGGGUGAGUAAUGCCUAGGAAUCUGCCUGGUAGUGGGGGAUAACGUCCGGAAACGGGCGCUAAUACCGCAUACGUCCUGAGGGAGAAAGUGGGGGAUCUUCGGACCUCACGCUCUCAGAUGAGCCUAGGUCGGAUUAGCUAGUUGGUGGGGUAAAGGUCUACCAAGGCGACGAUCCGUAACUGGUCUGAGAGGAUGAUCAGUCACACUGGAACUGAGACACGGUCCAGACUCCUACGGGAGGCAGCAGUGGGGAAUAUUGGACAAUGGGCGAAAGCCUGAUCCAGCCAUGCCGCGUGUGUGAAGAAGGUCUUCGGAUUGUAAAGCACUUUAAGUUGGGAGGAAGGGCAGUAAGUUAAUACCUUGCUGUUUUGACGUUACCAACAGAAUAAGCACCGGCUAACUUCGUG
rnacentral:rRNA from 1 species